ACUCAAAUGAAUUGACGGGGACCCGCACAAGCGGUGGAACAUGUGGUUUAAUUCGAUGCUACGCGAAGAACCUCACCAGGACUUGACAUACAGGAAGUAGUGAAAUGAAAGUGGAACCACCCGUUAAGUCGGGAGCCUGUACAGGUGCUGCAUGGCUGUCGUCAGCUCGUGUCGUGAGAUGUUGGGUUAAGUCCCGCAACGAGCGCAACCAUUACCCUAUGUUGCUACCUCUUUUUAUUAUCGAAAGAUAAUUGGAGAGCGCACUCUUAGGGGACUGCCUGGGAUAACCAGGAGGAAGGUGGAGAUGACGUCAAGUCAGUACGGCCUUUAUGUUCUGGGCUACACACGUGUUACAAUGGUUGAUACAGAGAGUCGCCAACUCGCAAGAGGGAGCCAAUCUCAAAAAAUCAAUCUCAGUUCGGAUUGGAGUCUGCAAUUCGACUCCAUGAAGCCGGAAUCGCUAGUAAUGGGAGAUCAGCUCGCUCCCGUGAAUACGUUCCCGGGUCUUGUACACACCGCCCGU
rnacentral:rRNA from 1 species